rnacentral:sRNA from 1 species
ACUGUUGCCACAUGAAGCCACAAGAAGCAGGUUCCCCCGUUGGGAGCCUCUGUGUAUCUUACUGACAGUAGCUGCCCCCCUCAGGUACCCCUGUCGCUGACAGGUGUCCCCUGGACCGAUUCAGGCAAUCCAUAUUGGCUUGUUUUGAUUUCCUGAUUUCACAACACUUGUAACCAGCCAGCCUCAUUGUAGCAUUAGUGACUUGAGGUUUUCUUGCAGAAUCGUGUCCUUUACCGCCUGAAACACAAAGCGUACAUUGUCAGUGUCUAUGGCAGUCGUGAAAUGAUGAAACAGAGGUUACUCCUGUCCUUUCGCUUCUCGUCGAAAUUGUCAGCAGAAAGUUCUGUACGUGUUCUAGGUUAUGGGGGUCGCCUGGAAAUCGGGGAAGUAGUCUUUGACGCUAACAUGCUUGAUCUUUUCUUUUAAUAAGUCAAAUUUGUUCAGAAAGAGAAUUAUGGACACACUACAAAAUGUCUUGUUGUUGAUGAUUUUUUCAAAGGAUGUCACAGGACUCCUGCAGGCGAUUCGUCUUCCUGUCUUCUAAAAGCACUUGAUCGAAUUCACUGGAGGAUGCUAGGAACAGAAUGGAGGUGAUGCUCUCGAAGCACUGGAACCAUUUUGUCUCUGUGACCUUUGACCUCCGACAUCCACAAACAGGAACGGUACGCCGCUGAUGUCAAUCAUGUGUUCUAUGAUGCCUUUGGUCGCCUUUCUAGCAUGUAGAAUAUCGAGUUUGUCGGUAUAUAACCCUAAAUAAUAAAUUAUUUUUUUUUAUUUCAAUGUACAAUACAAUGUAUCUAAUCUUUACAAAUUUAUGGUUUAACAUAAAAAUGAAUUGUGUAUUUUUUUUUUAUGUUUCAUAUUGUUUGGGGAAAAUAUAAUGUUUUACAAAUU